UCUGUUUCUUCCUCGUGUAAAACAAAAGGCUGUGUGUUUUCCAAGUCCAGUCCCCAUCUAUGGAGCACAACAAAAGGAAAGCUGGGCCAGGCAGAGCUGGGGGCUGAAUUCCAUCCUUCACACUCUUGGGUGAGCGGUGACCUCUUGGAUCUUCUGUUUCCCCAUCUACUGGAACAAGACACUCAGGCUUGAACUCACAACUUCAUGCAUUCUAGGCUAGCUCCAGGGCAGCUAUCACAUUUCAGAAGGAUAUAUUCUGGGGGUCAGAGCAGGGCUGGAGCUGCUGAGUAAGACGCUGGGGAAGAUACAAGGAGAAGAAGACACUGUGGCUGCAUCCCCACGUCUGCGGACUGGUCAGCUUCAUCACUAAAGCCAUUGCAAGCAUGCACAGAGAACCUUCUAAAAGGACAAAUGGCAAAUGAGCACAGAGGAAUGUCCUCUGGACACCUAUCCAUCCACCAGACACCAUCCAUCUGUCACAUGACAGUGGGCUUCU
rnacentral:lncRNA from 1 species